UUUUUUUUCGUAUUUGUACUUACAUUAAGCUUCAAAUUACAUGCAGUGAUGGAAGCCUGACCUUGUUCUUACACAGCAAAAAUUGAUGUCAAUAUUCACCAGUCAAUUCAUAUAGUUCUUACAUUUUUGGUUUGAGAAAUUUUUUGGGAGGACUGCCGAUGGAUCCUUAUGUGUUACACAGGCAAUGCAACAUGAGCUUGCUCAAAACUGGGGAAUCAACCACUGUCCUCUGUGACCAGCCUCCUAAAUUUUUCCAUCCUGCUUCAACUGAGGA